rnacentral:rRNA from 1 species
AGCGAACGCUGGCGGCAGGCCUAACACAUGCAAGUCGAACGGAUCCUUCGGGAUUAGUGGCGGACGGGUGAGUAACACGUGGGAACGUGCCCUUUGGUUCGGAACAACUCAGGGAAACUUGAGCUAAUACCGGAUGUGCCCUUCGGGGGAAAGAUUUAUCGCCAUUGGAGCGGCCCGCGUCUGAUUAGCUAGUUGGUGAGGUAAAGGCUCACCAAGGCGACGAUCAGUAGCUGGUCUGAGAGGAUGAUCAGCCACAUUGGGACUGAGACACGGCCCAAACUCCUACGGGAGGCAGCAGCGGGGAAUCUUGCGCAAGGGUGGAAUGCCUGACGCAGCCAUGCCGCGUGAAUGAUGAAGGUCUUAGGAUUGUAAAAUUCUUUCACCGGGGACGAUAAUGACGGUACCCGGAGAAGAAGCCCCGGCUAACUUCGUGCCAGCCGCCGCCGUAA